rnacentral:rRNA from 1 species
AUUGAACGCUGGCGGCAUGCUUUACACAUGCAAGUCGAACGGCAGCGCGGGCUUCGGCCUGGCGGCGAGUGGCGAACGGGUGAGUAAUACAUCGGAACGUGCCCAGUAGUGGGGGAUAGCUCGGCGAAAGCCGGAUUAAUACCGCAUACGACCUGAGGGUGAAAGCGGGGGAUCUUCGGACCUCGCGCUAUUGGAGCGGCCGAUGGCAGAUUAGCUAGUUGGUGGGGUAAAGGCCUACCAAGGCGACGAUCUGUAGCUGGUCUGAGAGGACGACCAGCCACACUGGGACUGAGACGCGGCCCAGACUCCUACGGGAGGCAGCAGUGGGGAAUUUUGGACAAUGGGCGAAAGCCUGAUCCAGCAAUGCCGCGUGUGUGAUGAAGGCCUUCGGGUUGUAAAGCACUUUUGGCGGGAACGAAAAGGACUGUGCCAAUACCACGGUUCGAUGACGGUACCCGCAGAAUAAGCACCGGCUAACUACGUG